GAAGAAAGCUGGCGGCGUGCUUAACACAUGCGAGUCGAACGGAAAGGCCCUGCUUUUGUGGGGUGCUCGAGUGGCGAACGGGUGAGUAACACGUGAGUAACCUGCCCUUGACUUUGGGAUAACUUCAGGAAACUGGGGCUAAUACCGGAUAGGAGCUCCUGCUGCAUGGUGGGGGUUGGAAAGUUUCGGCGGUUGGGGAUGGACUCGCGGCUUAUCAGCUUGUUGGUGGGGUAGUGGCUUACCAAGGCUUUGACGGGUAGCCGGCCUGAGAGGGUGACCGGCCACAUUGGGACUGAGAUACGGCCCAGACUCCUACGGGAGGCAGCAGUGGGGAAUAUUGCACAAUGGGCGGAAGCCUGAUGCAGCAACGCCGCGUGCGGGAUGACGGCCUUCGGGUUGUAAACCGCUUUCGCCUGUGACGAAGCGUGAGUGACGGUAAUGGGUAAAGAAGCACCGGCUAACUACGUG
rnacentral:rRNA from 1 species